rnacentral:rRNA from 1 species
CAGUAGCCGCGGUAAUACGUAGGGUGCAAGCGUUAAUCGGAAUUACUGGGCGUAAGGCGUGCGCAGGCGGUGUUGUAAGACUGAUGUGAAAUCCCCGGGCUCAACCUGGGAACUGCAUUGGUGACUGCAACGCUGGAGUGCGGCAGAGGGGGAUGGAAUUCCGCGUGUAGCAGUGAAAUGCGUAGAUAUGCGGAGGAACACCGAUGGCGAAGGCAAUCCCCUGGGCCUGCACUGACGCUCAUGCACGAAAGCGUGGGGAGCAAACAGGAUUAGAUACCCCUGUAGUCGCUGUCUCUUAUAC